rnacentral:rRNA from 1 species
AGUACGCACGCAAGUGUGAAACUCAAAGGAAUUGACGGGGGCCCGCACAAGCGGUGGAGUAUGUGGUUUAAUUCGAUGCAACGCGAAGAACCUUACCAGGGUUUGACAUCCUGCGAAUCUCUUGGAAACGAGAGAGUGCCUUUGGGAACGCAGUGACAGGUGGUGCAUGGCUGUCGUCAGCUCGUGUCGUGAGAUGUUGGGUUAAGUCCCGCAACGAGCGCAACCCACGUUUUUAGUUGCCAGCAUUCAGUUGGGCACUCUAGAGAGACCGCCGGUGAUAAACCGGAGGAAGGUGUGGAUGACGUCAAGUCAUCAUGCCCCUUACAUCCUGGGCUACACACGUACUACAAUGCUACGGACAAAGGGCAGCAAGUUCGCGAGGACAAGCAAAUCCCAUAAACCGUGGCUCAGUUCAGAUCGUAGGCUGCAACUCGCCUACGUGAAGAAGGAAUCGCUAGUAAUCGCAGGUCAGCAUACUGCGGUGAAUACGUUCCCGGGCCUUGUACACACCGCCCGUCAC